GCCGUUGUGGCUCAGUAGUUAAGAGCUUGGCUGUUAACCAAAAGGCUGGCAGUUCGAAUCUACCAGCAGCU
rnacentral:tRNA from 1 species